rnacentral:misc_RNA from 1 species
GAUGAAGAACGUAGCGAAAUGCGAUAAAUAAUGUGAAUUGCAGAAUUCAGUGAAUCAUCGAGUCUUUGAACACACAUUGCGCCCCCUGGUAUUCCGGGGGGCAUGCCUGUCCGAGCGUCAUUGCUGCCCUCAAGCACGGCUUGUGUGUUGGGCCCCCGUCCCCCCCUCCCGGGGGACGGGCCCGAAAGGCAGCGGCGGCACCGCGUCCGGUCCUCGAGCGUAUGGGGCUUUGUCACCCGCUCUGUAGGCCCGGCCGGCGCCUGCCGACCACCAUCAAUCUUUUUUCAGGUUGACCUCGGAUCAGGUAGGGAUACCCGCUGAACUUAAGCAUAUCAAUAAGCGGGAGGA